rnacentral:rRNA from 1 species
UGGGUAAUCUGCCCUCGAUUCUGGGAUAGCCCGGGGAAACCCGGAUUAAUACCGGAUAGCCUCUUUAGCUUUCGGGCCUUUGAGAAAAGGUAGCUUCGGCCUCCGAUCGAGGAUGAGCCCGCGGUGGAUUAGCUUGUUGGUGAGGUAACGGCUCACCAAGGCGACGAUCCGUAGCUGGUCUGAGAGGACGAUCAGCCACACUGGGACUGAGAUACCGGCCCAGACCUCCGUACGGGAGCAGC